UACGUAGGGUGCGAGCGUUAAUCGGAAUUACUGGGCGUAAAGCGUGCGCAGGCGGUUCGUUAAGUCAGAUGUGAAAGCCCCGAGCUCAACUUGGGAACUGCAUUUGAAACUGGCGGGCUGGAGUGUGGCAGAGGGGGGUGGAAUUCCACGUGUAACAGUGAAAUGCGUAGAGAUGUGGAGGAACACCGAUGGCGAAGGCAGCCCCCUGGGCCAACACUGACGCUCAGGCACGAAAGCGUGGGGAGCAAACAGG
rnacentral:rRNA from 1 species